CAAAGGCAAGACACCUUGCAAACGCCACAGGCCGACCCCACCCACUCCAGCCCACUACUCCUCGGACGAGGGGGACGAACACACACACUCCAUGGCCGUGUUGGACGAGUGGCAGGCCGCAGAUUCCGAUUCACAAGAAAAUGACUGGGGUUCGGACACGGGAUCCCAUACUGGUUUCCUGCAAGGCACCUUCUUGGACGACAUCCAACUGCCGGACGCCACACCGGUCCAAGAAGAAGGGGAAGCCAUUCUGGACCCCACGGGUCAACGUCUAUUCGACCCCCGAAAUAUACGACACCCGCGUUCGGGGGACUGGACCCCUCCCGACCAUCUCUCCAAAUUUAUGCAUCGUUGGCUCCGCAAACCCCUGGACAAAACGGUGCGCAACCGCCUACGUUCUGAAUGCCCUCGCCCUUCGCUCCCCGACCUCGUGGCUCAGACUCCCG